CCAACCCCUGGCCAUCUGCUCCACGGCCCACGUCUUCUCCAUGACAUCACAAGAGAAAGGUAAAGGGACAAGGAGCACUUACAGAAGUGUCCCUCAGCCCUAGAUGUACCCCCAGACCAGCAGCCUCAGCAUCACUGGGGAGCCUGUCAGAAAUGCAGGCUUGCAGGCCCCGCCCCACACCUACUGAAUCGAAACCUGCAUUUUAACAAGAUCCCAGGUGAUUUCAAUGCCUAUUAAGGUUUGAGAAGCCUGGGUCUGGGUCCGUGGUCCGCCCUCCGCAGCCCUGGCUGAACACUGGAAUCACCUGGGGAACUUUGCAAACACACACCCGUGGUUCAGACUUCCGGGGGCGGGGGGCAACCUAGGCAUCAGAGGGGUUUGCUUCUGUUACGUUUCGCGUUUUAGCUCCCCAGGUGAUUCUAAGGGGCAGCAACCUCUGAGACCCCUGUCAGGAAGAAGGGACAGGCUGAAGGCUGUGGAAGGUAGAAGCCACCAGCGACUUGCCGUCCCCUCCCAAAGCACAGCGACGCAGUCGGGGGUGGGAGGCCGGGGAGACCCGGUGCCGGGGCAGUGCCCAGCCGGGUCUCCUUCCCGCCGGUGCGUGCGUCUGGGCAGAGACCGGCUGCGGAAGGACGAGGGCUGGGAGCCUCCUUCUCAAGAACACCGACUGUCUGGACGCUGGGAGGCCGCUUCGGAUUGGGCCCACUGUCCUGUCCCAAAGGAGAUGCCUGCCAAAAGGAAGUAGAAGGCUCAAGUCAAGAGAAGACACAGGACUGAUUCAAGGCUGUGCGAGUUUUUGAGCUUUCUCCAUGGGCUCCCAUUUCAGAUGUGAGGGUUAGUGCAAACUCCCAUGGAUGGUAAGUGACAAUCAGGGCUUGGCCUUGGUUGAAAUUGGGGGGAGAGCCAAAGAAAAUUAACUUUCCAACAACUAGGCUUAUACCACUGAGAUAUGACUGAAGCCCAGGAUGGGGGAUCCUAAAAGAGAACAAAAGAGAAUGCCACAAAUAUCUAUCACAUCAUCUGUUCUCUUGGCUACUCUUACCUCUUCCUUCUCCAUUAUGCUUUUACACUGACCUGAUCUGAGAAACAUCUCCAACCCAUAAAAACAUUGCUUCUUUAAGCCCAUGUUUCUCUCACUCAUUACCCACACCAGUUUUCCUAGAUUCAAAUAAGAAGCCCAUGAAGAACCCCUUGGGUGAGAAGCGAUCCCAUGAAUGUUGAAGGAAGCUCUGCCCUCACUGGAGAAUCAAGGCACUAGGUUAUCAUGAAAUCCAGUCCUUUGCAAUUAUUAUUGUAUCAAGUGAGAUGUCGUCUCACUGAUGGGCUUCCAAAUUCCAUCUCAAUGGAGAAAUCCACAGCAACCAACAAAGUGUAAGGAGAGAAAGCAGAGCCAGGGAGGGGUUAGUGUAAU